UACGUAGGGUGAAAGCGUUGUCCGGAAUUAUUGGGCGUAAAGAGCUUGUAGGCGGUUUGUCGCGUCUGCUGUGAAAUUUCGGGGCUCAACCCCGAACUUGCAGUGGGUACGGGCAGACUAGAGUGUGGUAGGGGAGACUGGAAUUCCUGGUGUAGCGGUGAAAUGCGCAGAUAUCAGGAGGAACACCGAUGGCGAAGGCAGGUCUCUGGGCCAUAACUGACGCUGAGAAGCGAAAGCAUGGGGAGCGAACAGG
rnacentral:rRNA from 1 species